rnacentral:rRNA from 1 species
UGUUCCUUGUGCUCACCUGUACACUGUUCUUGAUGUUUCUAACGCAUUGAAUAUUUGCUUAAGGACAAUCGAUCGUGAUACCGAGAACAAAACAGCGUGCUUCAAGCUGGAUCUCCCAGUAGAUGACAAAGCUUGUUAUAUCAACGAACCUACCGGUUGAUUGCGAUUUACAGGUUUCUGCAGUCAGUGCGGGGAAUCCGAGCUGGAUCACAUUGAGAACACCUGGCUUGUCUUCGGACAGCUGGAUCAUGUACUCGAAUAGUGUCCUGUUCAAGAUAUUAAUAGGGACCGAUGGAGCUGUCAGUAUUCACAGACGAGGGGUGAAAUCCUUAGACUCUGUGAAGACUAACAACAGCGAAGGCAUUCAGCUAAGAGGCCUUCAUUAAUCAAGAACGAGAGUGCAGGGAUCGAAGAUGAUCAGAUACCGUCGUAGUCUGCUACUGUAAACUAUGCAAACUAGGGAUCAGUUGAUGGUGCAACACAUGUCUGUUGACUCGGUUGGUACCUCUCCUUCUUUUUAACGCGAAAGCUUAAGUCUUCGUGUUCAGGGGGGAGUACAGUUGCAAGGCUGAAACUUAAAGGAAUUGACGGAAUGACACCACAAGGCGUGGAUGCUGCGGCAAUAAUGUGACUCAACACAGAGAAUGUUACCAGAUCAUGAGGUUGGAGGAUGACAG